rnacentral:rRNA from 1 species
AACGAACGCUGGCGGCAGGCUUAACACAUGCAAGUCGAGCGCCCCGCCAGGGGAGCGGCAGACGGGUGAGUAACGCGUGGGAAUCUACCCAUCUCUACGGAAUAACGCACGGAAACGUGUGCUAAUACCGUAUACGUUCCUCGGGUGAACCAUUUAUCGGAGAUGGAUGAGCCCGCGUUGGAGUAGCUAGUUGGGGGGGUAAAGGCCUACCAAGGCGAUGAUCCAUAGCUGGUCUGAGAGGAUGAUCAGCCACACUGGGACUGAGACCCGGCCCAGCCUCCUACGGGAGGCAGCAGUGGGGAAUAUUGGACAAUGGGCGCAAGCCUGAUCAAGCCAUGCCGCGUCGGUGAUGAAGGCCCUAGGGUUGUAAAGCUCUUUCACCGGUGAAGAUAAUGACGGUAACCGGAGAAGAAGCCCCGGCUAACUUCGUGCCAGCAGCCGCCGUAAGAC